UGGGGAAUAUUGGACAAUGGGCGCAAGCCUGAUCCAGCAAUACCGCGUGAGUGAUGAAGGCCUUUGGGUUGUAAAACUCUUUUAGUGAGGAAGAUAAUGACUGUACUCACAGAAAAAGCACCGGCUAACUUCGUGCCAGCAGCCGCGGUAAUACGAAGGGUGCUAGCGUUGUUCGGAAUUAUUGGGCGUAAAGCGUGCGUAGGCGGUUUAGUAAGUCGAUUGUGAAAGCCCAGGGCUCAACCUUGGAAUUGCAACCGAAACUGCUUUGCUAGAGUAUGGUGGGGGAUAAUAGAAUUCCUAGUGUAGGGGUGAAAUCCGUAGAUAUUAGGAGGAAUACCAGCGGCGAAGGCGAUUAUCUACACCAUUACUGACGCUGAGGCACGAAAGCGUGGGGAGCAAACAGG
rnacentral:rRNA from 1 species